UGCCAGCAGCCGCGGUAAUACGGAGGGGGUUAGCGUUGUUCGGAAUUACUGGGCGUAAAGCGCACGUAGGCGGAUGAAUUAGUCAGAGGUGAAAGCCCCGAGCUCAACUUGGGAACUGCCUUUGAUACUGCUUAUCUAGAGUCCGAGAGAGGUUAGUGGAAUUCCCAGUGUAGAGGUGAAAUUCGUAGAUAUUAGGAAGAACACCAGUGGCGAAGGCGGCUUACUGGACCGGUACUGACGCUGAGGUACGAAAGCGUGGGGAGCGAACAGGAUUAGAUA
rnacentral:rRNA from 1 species